UUUAGGUUCUUUCUUUCCCUGGAGACUCAAUGAUUUUAUGUCUAGUGGUUCAUAAGUUACAAGAUAUCUGGAAUUAGGUGAUCUGACACCCUGUGACUUCUGGCUUUCCCCAAAGACAAAAUGACCAUGGAAGGGAGACCAUGAUGGUGACAUUUGGAAGACCCUGUGUAAGGCAGGGUGAUGUUCCAUUAUUUUUUGUACUUGCUAAAACUCAGAGUUCUGAAAAGUCUGGAUGACACAAUGAAAAGUUUGUGUGCUGAGCAAAAUGUUGUCCAAUUGGCCAAUCCUCUACGUCUUGGGAAAUGUCUAGAAGCUUGGCAAGAAGUUGCUCUCAAGAGAGCACGAAUGCUGCCAAUUUCCAAUUGGCCAAGACACAUUACAAGGACAACCUUCUCUCUGAGCAACCUGGCAUUUCCAUUCCAAUUGGAAUCUGCAAUGUGAAGAUGCACAAGGGAGGGAGAUUAAACAAACGUUUUCAGAUUUCUGUUCCAGGUGAAUCUCUCAUCUUAUCUGGUCUGUUCUGAUCUGCUUUUGUUCACUGACCAUUUCAAACAUUAAGGGACAUGUUACAGGUGAGUUUUCAGAACUGAUAAAUGGCCAGGGCAGAUGCAAGAUGAGAAAACUGAUCUAUUUUUAUACAUACAUAUGAAGCGCUGAACCUGCCUGAACAGUUCAAGUUGUUGCUAAUAAAAUUUUAGAUCUGCUGUGUGAGGCAACCUGCCUGACACAUUGGCCCUUGCUCAAGUAGCUCCCACCCCUGAUGCAUGUUUGGGAAAUGGUGACAGCUGUGCUCUUUGCCUGGCUGCUUCCAUUUAUGAAAACAUGGGGGUAGAUGGUAGUCACCCCCAUAGGCCCCUUCACUGUGAAUCUUCUUUUCUAGCCACAGCCAAGAGUAAAAGCCCCCAACAGAAUUGAGUAACAGUCAUUUAGAGCCUUCCUCAAAUAGGCUUAAUUUGCUUUUUGCUAAGAAGAUCUCAGGAAAUUAAAAAAGAAGAUAUUGGCUCAAUUGAAAUUUAUAAACAGUAUUUUGUUCUUAAAACAACACUCAUUUUAUAUUAUUUUAACACAGCCACUGGUGAUAGUUUAGGUAUCAAGAUAAAAAUAUCCAAUUAUAGCAAGUAAAUUUUGCCUCCUUAAGGUCAUUUCCUGGGUAAGGCUGGGGAGGCAUAAAAAGGCUGAGAGCCUGCACAUGCCCCUUUGCCAAAUCUGACCUUAUUCUACCUUUGAAGCAUUGCCAAUUGUGUCAUCUCUGAAAACAAAGCCUGGCAGUAGAUUAGUUGAAAAUUUUUUUCCUAUAGUGGAUUAAUUCAUCAUAGCUUGUAGAGUGCUAGUUUCUUUUGUCACCAUGCUUAUCCACCCCUGCAUCUUUCAGAGUACUUCUGGGGGUUAGUUCCUGCCCUGCUUAAUCAGAGUGGUCCCUGCCCUGUCUUAUUCACAAGGCACAGAAGUGAAGCAGAGAAGACUCCAGAACAAGCUCAGCCGUACCCCUUGUUCUCAUCUUUGUCCAUGUUCCCAUGGUCUGAAAGCUACCCUUUGAAAACCUCCCUCUCCCCUGCUAUUUUACCUUCUACUACAAUUUCAUUACUGUAAAUCCCUAGGCCAUCACAGAAAUUCCAGUCUAAAGGGUUUAAGCAGUGAAAUUCUCUAACAGAUGACUGGAGAUUGAAUUGGAGACUUUGUGUAUUUCUCCUAGUAGGUCCAUUGCUCUAUUGUUAGACAUAUAAUGCUACUGUUUUUGUAUGGGAUGACUUGGGCAGAGCUCUUUUCACAUGAAACAAAUGAUGAAUGACUAAGUAAAAGAAGAAUCCCUGGGGA